rnacentral:lncRNA from 1 species
AUAAGUUACGUGUAAUCUUCUCUUCCCACAGCACACUAUUCUAUGCUUCCAUGAUUAUAUCAUUUACUUCUUCUUUCGGUGCACUUGUGUAUCCAUUAGCCUGUGGAAAUCCCAAUUCUAAAGAGAAACAGCUCUAAAGAUAUGCCAUGCAUGUAUUCGAUUUUCCUGAUUUUUUACGCACCAUUCUGUUCUUAAGCCUUUGUCACUUUUUCGUAUUUCUUUUUCCCUCACAGGCAACCCUUUUUCCCAAUUGAAAGCUUUCAUUGUCUGAUUUUGCAAGGUGAGCUCUGUGGUUUAUAAACAGCUCUAAAGAUAUGCCAUGCAUGUAUUUGGUUUUCCUGAUUUUUUACGCACCAUUCUGUGCUUAAACCUUUGCCACUUUUUCGUAUUUCUUUUUCCCUCACAGGCAACCCUUCUUCCCAAUUGAAAGGUUUCAUUGUCUGAUUUUACAAGGUGAGCUCUGUGGUUUAUUUCUACCUUUCCGUGGUUUUGUCCUUGUACUGAAAGGCUUAAUGAGUCGAAGUGUUUACAUGAUUAUAAUAGUUCAGUGAGCCAUGUUAAUGAAUAUGUUAGGGAUUCUUACUGGCAUAUUAGACGUACAACUAUCUUUCAUUUGUUUAUUAAUUGCCUUCUACUACUAAUUUGAUUGGGUAUGCAUUUUUAUUGAAAUCUUCUUAUUUAUGUUAUGUAUAGCUGAGCUUUUUUAAUGGGUUGCCGACGGAAAUAUGCAAACUUAGAAGAAGCGUAUACAGACGGAAAUAUGCAAACUUAGAAGAAGCGUAUACAGAGAAGAAUGCAAGGAGACGGGCAAUAUCGUCUCUAUGUUGAUAUAUCAUGCCAGAAGUAGGCCCGAGGAGGGGGGGACCAAAAUUUUGCUCGUUCCAUAACCCACUCAUGGGUUUAAAGAUACUAGGAGGGAAUCACCGCGCGAUGCGCGGUGUUAAUUUUAUGUUGCCCAGAAAAUGCCCAAAUUCAUAAGUGGAGAUAUCAUGAUUUGGAUGCAUUGCAUUUAAGUUAUUUCGUUAUAAAAUGAUUAAACUUUUAAAUAAGCGAAAGCGUGAGCAAAUAAAUGGGUAACUUUUCUCGAUUUCCAA